CAAGAGAGCAAAGCAGGGCCUACAGGAGUCCUCCCACCAAGCAGCUCUAGGUGCAGUGAUACAGGCCCCACUAGCUCAGCUGAAGCAGCAAUGGCCAGGGCUACAGAGGAACAAGACCAAGAAGAUAGAAUCACCAAGAAGACCUGACUGUCUUCUGAUGCUUGAAUGUGACCUGGGGAAUUGGAAUCUCCUCACCUGCUCCUUCUCCUUGGAUUGUUGAAUGUUUGUGGCAACACUUACUUCAAGCAAGGACGUCAGCACCAUUUUUCCAACAGCAUUUGCUCACUUCAUGUUUCUGUGUCACAUUUUGGUAAUUCCCCAAAUAUUUCAAGCUUCCCCAUUAUUAUUGUAUUUGCUAUGGUGAUCUGUAAUCCAUGACCUUUGAUUUUACUACUGUAAUUGU